GACCUGAGCUCAGGCAAGAUUAC
rnacentral:rRNA from 1 species